GGAGGGGGGAGAAGCGGAGCAGCAGCGGCGCGCUCAGGGGAGCAGGCAGAGCGGAGCACCUGGCUAGAUGGACCAUUGGUCUGACCCAGGAUGGAUGUUUUUAUGAAGAAUCUACAACAUUCCACCUAGUGUCUGGCAUCUUUACAUUUGUGUUUAAAGAGUAAUACGCACUCCAUGAUGGGAGCUUGUAAGUAGGGAUCUGGAGAGGCUCUCUUGCUGUCUGCAGUUACAGCCACAACUCACAAUCCAAACCAUGCCCCGCUCUGAUGGUGACUAUGUUCUUUAAGGGGAAACGUUUAGCACUAUGGAGAGGCUGAAUAAGGAAGCAGCUGCAUGUUCAGAAGAGCAAGUAAUUUUGAUGCUGCCAACUGCCUUGCUUGCUUCAGAAGCCAUUUUCAAGGGCAAGAGCAAUGAUCCACCUCCGGUCUUUCUGCUUUACUCAAAUGCAGUGGAUUCCUACUACAAGUCCAGCUCAACAGAGGAAAGAAGUUGUAGCGAAAAUAACACCAAUUACCUGAGAGGGGGGUCUAUAUUCACUACAGAAAUUUCAGUACAAAUGUAUGACAUUUAUCUACUAACUUUUCCAUGAUUUUCUUCCAAUGUCUGUUAAUUUGUAAACCAGAGCCAUCAGCCACCAUCAGUCAUUUAUACUGCAAAAGGAAGAUAAACCAUUAAAAUCAAAAUAGUUAUAUA